UGGGGAAUUUUGGACAAUGGGCGCAAGCCUGAUCCAGCAAUGCCGCGUGCAGGAUGAAGGCCUUCGGGUUGUAAACUGCUUUUGUACGGAGCGAAAAGGUCUGCCCUAAUACGGUGGGCUCAUGACGGUACCGUAAGAAUAAGCACCGGCUAACUACGUGCCAGCAGCCGCGGUAAUACGUAGGGUGCGUGCGUUAAUCGGAAUUACUGGGCGUAAAGCGUGCGCAGGCGGUUAUAUAAGACAGAUGUGAAAGCCCCGGGCUCAACGGGGGACCUGCAUUUGUGACGGUAUAGCUAGAGUACGGUAGAGGAGAAUGGAAUUCCGGGUGUAGCAGUGAAAUGCGUAGAUAUGCGGAGGAACACCGAUGGCGAAGGCAAGCCCCUGGACCGGUACUGACGCUCAGGCACGAAAGCGUGGGGAGCAAACA
rnacentral:rRNA from 1 species